rnacentral:snoRNA from 1 species
AAUCCUUUCUUCCAAAACUGUAUCGCUUUAUGUGAUUCAGUCAUUUCAGGAAAGGUAGACUAAACGUGGCAUUACCAAACUAGCUUGAGUCUUCAAUACCUAACUAGUUUGAAAUUGUACACUACACAUUUU